rnacentral:rRNA from 1 species
GAUGAACGCUGGCGGCGUGCCUAAUACAUGCAAGUCGAGCGAACGGACGAGAAGCUUGCUUCUCUGAUGUUAGCGGCGGACGGGUGAGUAACACGUGGAUAACCUACCUAUAAGACUGGGAUAACUUCGGGAAACCGGGGCUAGUACCGGAUAAUAUUUUGAACCGCAUGGUUCAAAAGUGAAAGACGGUCUUGCUGUCACUUAUAGAUGGAUCCGCGCUGCAUUAGCUAGUUGGUAAGGUAACGGCUUACCAAGGCAACGAUGCAUAGCCGACCUGAGAGGGUGAUCGGCCACACUGGAACUGAGACACGGUCCAGACUCCUACGGGAGGCAGCAGUAGGGAAUCUUCCGCAAUGGGCGAAAGCCUGACGGAGCAACGCCGCGUGAGUGAUGAAGGUCUUCGGAUCGUAAAACUCUGUUAUUAGGGAAGAACAUAUGUGUAAGUAACUGUGCACAUCUUGACGGUACCUAAUCAGAAAGCCACGGCUAACUACGUG